CAUCGAUAAAACACGACUAAAGCUAACAGAAAACAGUAUUAAAACCUGAGCUGGAGCUGAAUGAAGUGAUAAAGGACUUACCGGGAGACAUGUCGGGUCCUUCUGCAGCGGUUCCACAACAUAUAAUGACAGAAAAAGACCGUUUCUCCUCCGUUUUCUCCUCCAGUAACACCAACAGAGAGAUGAGAGCUGAGAUCUGAGAGGAGGAACUCUGAGCAUCAAGCUAGCUGAGAACACGUCAUAUAACUUCCGGUUGACACUUUUCAGAAUAAAAGCUAAAUAACCAGUGGUGGAAACUCACCCUGGUUAACUUGAUUCAGCUCUCUGGAGCUCCAUCCACUGCCAGUCAUUCUGAUGGUCCUCCUGCAGCCUCAGAGGUCAAACAGCGACACUGUGUGGCCACAGUCUGUCAGUGCAGGUAUGUUACCUUCAGGGACUCCUUGUAAAUCCCAA